GACGAACGCUGGCGGCGUGCUUAACACAUGCAAGUCGAACGGAAAGGCCCUGCUUGCAGGGUGCUCGAGUGGCGAACGGGUGAGUAACACGUGGGUGAUCUGCCCCUUACUUUGGGAUAAGCCUGGGAAACUGGGUCUAAUACUGGAUAGGACCAUUCUGUAGGCGGUGUGGUGGAUAGAUUAGUUUCGGUUUGGGAUGAGCUCGCGGCCGAUCAGCUUGUUGGUGGGGUAAUGGCCUACCAAGGCGUCGCCGGGUAGCCGGCCGGAGAGGGUGGACGGCGACAUUGGGACUGAGAUGCGGGGCAGAAGCCUACGAGAGGCAGCAGUGGGGGAAAGUGUACAAGGGGAGCAAGGCGGAUGCAGCGACGCCGCGGGGGGGGUGACGGCCUUCGGGUUGUAAACAACUUACAGCCAUGACGAAGCGCUUGUGGUGACGGUAGUGGUAGAAGAAGCACCGGCUAACUACGUG
rnacentral:rRNA from 1 species